CGAGUCAAUCCCUUUCUGCAGCUAAGACGCGAUGAAACGGAACUGCGAAGAGGAUAAACGAAAAGGAAACGCGCUUAUGUGCCAAUACAAAAGCACUUAUACAAAUAAUCUCAAAGCAGCAAUCACAAUGGUAUCACAUUUUGAAACACCAACAUCAUCGCGUUGGCAUUGGAGCAACGCCGCGUAUGUCAUCAAUCAGCUUCACGUUCUUUAUCAUCUUCACAUUUGAUACAGGUCGAAGCGAGAAAAGAGGAAAAGCGAAAAUGCAAAAGUGCUUAUCAAUACAUACCGGAAGACAAUCGAGAUACUUGAUUUCAUGUUUGCCAAUCGAUGCGGAUGAUAAUCACUUAUUGAAUCAAUCCGCGCCAGGAACGCCGUAACUCCGCGAAUCGAUCCCAACUUCAAAGUUGCCGCUGCCGUUGCGUCGCGGUUGAAAUGUUAUAGGUUACCGAUCACGGAUUGGUGACGUCACGAAGGUUGAGCUCCAACUCGCCGAAGAUGAAUUCACGUUGCAGAAAGUGAAGCUCCAGGUCAAAUGGCCGAAUGUGUAUUCAGGUUGCAGAAGAAGAAGAAUUCAAGUUGCAGAGUGGUGAGGUUCGUGUUUGAAGAUGAUGAUUGAAUAAUAUUGAAGAAGGUUUGAGGGAGAGUGGAGAAGAUGAAGGUUGAAGAUUGAAAAAGAUUGAAGAUUGGAGAAGAUUAAAGAAAAAAUCGAAGAAAUGAUUGAAGGUUUGGUGUUGAUCUCGCUGUAAAAGGGGCCUGCGACAAGGUGAUGCUUGAUGGAGUGAAGCCAGGACUGGUGUGCCACUGUCGUCACUGCAGUGUACCGAUUUUAGCCUGAGAGCGGAAUUCAUCGUGUUGUUAUCACCGAGUUUGUUAUGAAUUAUGCAGGUGGCUGCGUUUUGAGUGUACAUGGCCCCUGCAUUUUUUUGUCAUUUAGCUUGUAGCAAAGUGUAUAAUGGAUUUGGGAAAUGAAUUUUGGUAUUGUUAGA